rnacentral:tRNA from 1 species
GCGCGGAUGGCGGAAUUGGCAGACGCGCCAGACUUAGGAUCUGGUGGGAGAAAUCCUGUGUGGGUUCAAGUCCCUCUCCGCGCA